ACCAGCUUAUUGGUCUUUAGACUUUCUGAAAUGGUAAUAAAAAAAGGCCAAAGAAAAGGAGAACCCUCUUCUUUUUUUUCCUUCAUCUUCUCGGCAUUCCUCGUCGAUUGCUGGCCUUUGUAAUCAUGAGUCCUCAUGCCAUCAUUAUCAUGAAAAGCACGACCGCAUUACCCCAUCUAUAUAACUCACAUUUGGUUUCUCUUAGUUUCUACCAUCUACUACAAGCCCCAAAACCCACCUUGCUUGUAAUCUUUGCUCUCCUCCCCCCCCUUUACGUAUCUUUUUACAGGAAAAAGAACAGUCACCCAUUUCUCUGUGACGCAGAAACUAAACUUUAAAGGGGGGAAAAUGUGUACUGUUACUUGUUCGAAACUGAGCCCAUGCAGUCCCUUGUAUAUUGCUCUUAGCAAUCAACAGCCAUCAAAAGGACACAACCUUCGAUAUCAUAGACUCAACCGAAGGAGAAGGUUGUCAAAAGGGAAGAGGGUGGCACUGGUUCUGGUCAAGAAAGAGAUGGAAAUCAAGAACUUGAAACUGUACAUGGAGAACAAAAGCAUCAAAGAAGAGAAUGAGAAGCUGAGAAAGAAAGCAUUUCUUCUACACCAGGAAAAUCAAGCUUUGCUUUAUCAGCUCCAAAAGAAGCGCUCUAAUCCUCGCCAUGACCACUUGGCUCACGGCAACAACUAAUAUAUAUGACCAUAUAUCUAUGUAGGAGAAGUUACUGUAUGCAGAUCAAGUACAAGAGGAUUAAUAGGAAGCAAGAGUCUGCCUUCUUUAAUCUUUUUCUAUCUUCUCACCUUGUCCUUUAUUCUUUUCUUCUUUGUUUUUUGAGUGGUAAGCUUAGUAGUAGUUUCGUUAAUAUUAUUGGGAUAUUGGGAAUAAAUAAGGUAAUUGUUUUAUUUCUUUCUUUUUCCGGACACGCUCAGUGAUAUCAUCCAUGGAUGAAUAGCUAUUUUCAAUAUAUAGCUAAAUCACAAGAAAGAGCUCGUCGGCUUGAUAUCCAUCAGCGAUCACACACUUGCAAUUAUCUUAUUGUUUUAUGUAUUAGUGGAAUUAAUUUUGAAAUAUAAGGUGAGGAAAUAUCAAGGAAUUUUA